AACGUGCCCAAUAGUGGGGGAUAGCCCGGCGAAAGCCGGAUUAAUACCGCAUGAGACCUGAGGGUGAAAGCGGGGGAUUCGCAAGGACCUCGCGCUAAUGGAGCGGCCGAUAUCAGAUUAGGUUGUUGGUGAGGUAAAAGCUCACCAAGCCUGCGAUCUGUAGCUGGUCUGAGAGGACGACCAGCCACACUGGAACUGAGACACGGUCCAGACUCCUACGGGAGGCAGCAGUGGGGAAUUUUGGACAAUGGACGCAAGUCUGAUCCAGCAAUGCCGCGUGCAG
rnacentral:rRNA from 1 species